rnacentral:rRNA from 1 species
AUUGAACGCUGGCGGCAUGCCUUACACAUGCAAGUCGAACGGCAGCGCGGGGCAACCUGGCGGCGAGUGGCGAACGGGUGAGUAAUAUAUCGGAACAUACCCUAGAGUGGGGAUAACGUAGCGAAGUUACGCUAAUACCGCAUACGCACUAAGGUGGAAAGUGGGGGAGUCUUCGGACCUCAUGCUCAUGGAGUGGCCGAUAUCUGAUUAGCUAGUUGGUGAGGUAAAGGCUCACCAAGGCGACGAUCUGUAGCUGGUCUGAGAGGACGACCAGCCACACUGGGACUGAGACACGGCCCAGACUCCUACGGGAGGCAGCAGUGGGGAAUUUUGGACAAUGGGGGCGAACCCUGAUCCAGCCAUGCCGCGUGCGGGAA